UACGUAGGGUGCAAGCGUUGUCCGGAAUUAUUGGGCGUAAAGGGCUCGUAGGCGGUCCGUCACGUCGGGAGUGAAAACUUGGGGCUUAACCCCAAGCCUGCUUCCGAUACGGGCAGACUAGAGUGCGGUAGGGGAGACUGGAAUUCCAGGUGUAGCGGUGAAACGCGUAGAUAUCUGGAGGAACACCGGUGGCGAAGGACGGCGAUCCUGGACCAAAACUGACGCUGAAUAGCGAAAGCCAGGGGAGCAAACGGG
rnacentral:rRNA from 1 species